rnacentral:lncRNA from 1 species
GACUCGAACGGAACGGCUGUCGACGCUACUCCAUGCCAAAGGGGGCAGUAGUGUGGAACUGGACAUGGUCACUGUGAAGUCCCCCAGUUCUCCUGUGGAGGAUGAGGAGGAUGGGAAGGGAGGUUCGCAGAAGCACCAGGCCUUGGUGGAAAGAAACAACGCAGUUCUUUCAGGCUUUUCCUGAAGGCAGGGAUCCAAUCACAACAGUGAGACUAUAGGGAGGAUGGGGCCAUCCUUCAAGCCCCUCCUCCACCCGCCCAACCCCCUCCCCUAGCCGCCCAACCCCCACCCCUAGCCACCCAACCCCCACCCUAGCCACCCCAACUCCCUCCCCUAGCCGCCCAACCCCCUCCUUGCCCAUCGAACCCCCUCCCCUACACGCCCAAACCCCUCCCCUACCCACCCCUACACCCCUACUUACCCACCGAACCCCUCACCUUGCAACCCCAAACCCCUCCCCUACCCACUCAACACCAAACCCUAACCGCACAAACCCCACCCCUACCCACUCAACACCCUCCCCGACCCACCAAAACCCCUCCCCGACCCGCCAAAACCCUUCCUCUACCCGCAAAGUCUCAGAGAUGAAUAGCACUGCCACUGAUGACUCAUUUGAGUGGUAGAGAACCGUUCCCUGUUGAAUUUAAGAACAAAAAGCCUUCCAAACUGCCAAAGAAGUAGUUCUCUAUGACCCUCAACAAAGGAGAGGAUGGCGGUAUGUUGUUAUAUUCUACCAUUUGUGGUUUUCAUUUGUCUGCAAUAGUCCCUCACGUUGACUUUUUGGUGGCUCAUCCCUUCUUUUUCUCCUUUCCCUCUAGGAAGGGACACAAGAGCCUUCAAGAGAACUGCAUCCAGUCCUGACUUAAAGAGAGGGGACAGGAUCGCUGGGAGAGACAGCCAGAGGACAUUUGAAGUAAUUGCCAUAUCGAUGCAGUAUUAGAUGUGGAGUAAGUAUAGUGAUUACAUGUCAUGCGGAGUUAGUAAUGACAUGUCAUGGAGGAGUAUAUGAUACAUGUCAUGGCAGGUAUAGUAAUGACAUUAUGCGGUAUAGUGAUGAUUACAUGUCAUGGCAGGAGUAUAGUGAUUACAUGUCAUGGCAGGAGUAUAGUGAUUACAUGUCAUGGCAGGAGUAUAGUAAUGACAUUUCAUGGCAGGAGUAUAGUAAUUACAUGUCAUGGCAGGAGUAUAGUGAUUACAUGUCAUGGCAGGAGUAUAGUGAUGACAUGUCAUGGCAGGAGUAUAGUAAUUACAUGUCAUGGCAGGAGUAUAGUAAUGACAUGUCAUGGCAGGAGUAUAGUAAUUUCAUGUCAUGGCAGGAGUAUAGUGAUUACAUGUCAUGGCAGGAGUGUAGUAAUGACAUGCCAUGGCAGGAGUAUAGUAAUUACAUGUGCUGCUCAUUCUAUGUACUACUGUAAUGUUCCUUCGUGAGACUUGGUGUGAGACUGUGUGGACCGCCACUGCCUUAUCAGUUAGAGUAGUGAGAGUCUUCAAUGCCAGACCCACUGUUCCUUUAAUAUGAGCCUAAUGUUGUUGUUUAGCAGGAGUGAUUUGAUACCACAUACCAGUGAGUGUCUCCUGAGUCCUGCCCGUCUCAGAUGGCAUUCACCACCUGUGUCAGGGAAAUGCCAAUACAGACUUGAUCGUUCAGUCAUUCGAUGCUUGAAAACUGAUCUUAUGUUACUGCUCACAUGUCAUAAGAAAUCAACAUGUUGUAUUGCUCUUUCCUGUAUCACUGUCAUUGAAACGGCCGCUUUUAAACCUAAAUAAAUGGAUGGCGUUAAAACCACAUCUAUCCCAGGUAUAGAUGUAUUCUGAAUGUGUCUAUCCUUCAGGUUACUAUGGAGAAGGAAAAGUGAUCAGCUCUCUUCUCUCACACAAGGUAUCACCUUACCAAGGGCACUUUGUUAAAUUGUUAGUUGACUGGCCCUUAUCUCCACUGGAGUGUGUAGUGUCUGAAUAAUGGAUGUUGUUUUAACAGAUCAGACACCAAUCACACACUUCUGCUGUUAACAUACAACAUAAUACAUUGUCUCUAAACCUAUGUGACAUUAUAAACAUGUCACUGGUCCAUGGCUAUAUCUGUCAUCUUAAUAAAAAAGAAGCAAUAGGGACUAAGACAUAUUUUGCUUAUUUUUUAUGCAUAGCAAUUACAAAGAGCAAAGGACAUUUUCUCAUUGAAAUUAUAGUGUGUAGUCUUGUAUAUAAAAAUGCCAAAGAUGUAUGGGACCACACGUACUUCAUGUACUUGACUGACUUCAUAUCUCUGAUGUGUGACUGUUGUUUUAUAUGAAAUCAUAAUAUAAAAUAUAACUUGUCUAUUUUGUUUUGCAAUCAUUUAUACAGAGGACUUAGAUAGUUUUGCUAAAUCAAGUUCUCUUCUCCACAGUCAUGUGAUUUUUUGUUUUUGGACAUGAUCAUAUUUUUCUUGCGCAACCUUUAGAUAACAUUUCCUACCACUAUCUUAUCUGUAGAUUUGUCAAAGAAAUGGACGACUGUGCAGGAGCUCCGCUUAAUCAUAACUCUGCUAGUUGUAGAUAUGGUUUGGGUGGGUAUACAAAUGUUUUGGCUGCCGGUAUAAUAAGUGCAAUUGAUAGCUGUUUUUUUUUCUCUCUUGGUGCAUCAGUGUUUUUAUUCCCACCCUUGUUUGAAGAGAAAUUUAUGUGAGAAGUCACUUUUACAAAAAGCAUAUAGACAUUUCUUUGGUUCACUCUUGCCUGUAAAGCUUUAGGGAAAGGUUUCAUAAGAUUGUAGCCUAUGCUUACUAUACAUUCACUCAAACGGUGUACUGCAUAUUGUGUGUGGACAUACAGUACUGUAUAUUUAACUGUGAGUGAGAGAGGACUUACAACAUAUACAUACUGUGUAUAUUACAGUAGCCCUCUUCAUGGAUGUUGCUGUCACACGUGGGGAGGGUUAGUGUAUCACUCCCUGCAUCAACUCUCUCCUCCCUGUAUGUUUUGUCUCUCAUAUCUGCAUAAGGGCUAUAGUAACCUCAGAGCAGAACCACAGCCCUAUGACAGACACACAGGAACUGAUGUGCACAGGAAGGAUGCUUGUGUUUUUCAUACCACAGGUGCAGGCCUCAUUUCACAGUAGAAAUACAGCACUUAAAGGAAAACCCCAUCCAAAAACAAUAUUUUGUUAUUUGUUUCAUUUGUCCAUUUCUAGUCCCAAAAUGUCCCAAAAAGUUUUCAAGAUGAAUAACUUUCAAAAUAGAGAAACACAGCCAGUAUGAGGCAUCUUUCAUCACAUGAUGCUAAAAACAACGCAGCACCUCAGUACACAGUACCUCAGGAUGACCACAUGACAUGAUUCAAUGUUUCUUCAUUAGGAGCUGUGCAUUUGGGUUGCUAAAAUAUAUUUUUCCCAUGUCAUGGGAGACAUAAAGCAUAUGGAUGAGUGGUUAUUAAACUCUGACACCUAAUAAGUAUUGAAAACUGAAAACCAACAACAGAUUAUAAUCUGGCACCAUCUACUGGACAUUUUAGAAAUUCAAAUAGUGAUUCCUUUGAUAAUAUCUUUGUGUUUUUCCUUAUUUGUGUUGAACAAUAUCAGAUUGAUUACAUUUGUAUCACUAAAUAAUAAAAAUGGUUUAAAACUACUUAAUUUGAUUUUACACUGAACAAAAAUAUAAACGAAACAUGCAACAAUUUCAAAGAUUUUACUGAGUUACAGCUCAUAAAAGUAAAUCAGUCAAUUGAAAUUCAUUACGCACUAAUCUAUGGAUUUCAUAUGAUUGGGAAUGCAGAUACACAUAUGUCAG